rnacentral:rRNA from 1 species
AUACGUAGGGGGCAAGCGUUGUCCGGAAUUAUUGGGCGUAAAGCGCGCGCAGGCGGUCGGGUAAGUCUGAUGUUAAAGCCCGGGGCUCAACCCCGGUUCGCAUUGGAAACUGCUCGACUUGAGUGCAGAAGAGGAAAGCGGAAUUCCACGUGUAGCGGUGAAAUGCGUAGAGAUGUGGAGGAACACCAGUGGCGAAGGCGGCUUUCUGGUCUGUAACUGACGCCGAGGCGCGAAAGCGUGAGGAGCAAACAGGAUUAGAUACCCUGGUAGUCCACGCCGUAAACGAUGAGUGCUAGGUGUUGGGGGUUUCAACACCCUCAGUGCCGCAGCUAACGCAAUAAGCACUCCGCCUGGGGAGUACGCUCGCAAGAGUGAA